CCUACGGGUGGCAGCAGUGGGGAAUAUUGGACAAUGGGGGCAACCCUGAUCCAGCCAUGCCGCGUGUGUGAAGAAGGCCCUCGGGUUGUAAAGCACUUUCAGUGAGGAAGAACGCCUGGUGGUUAAUACCCAUCAGGAAAGACAUCACUCACAGAAGAAGCACCGGCUAACUCCGUGCCAGCAGCCGCGGUAAUACGGAGGGUGCGAGCGUUAAUCGGAAUUACUGGUCGUAAAGCGCGCGUAGGUGGCUUGAUAAGCCGGUUGUGAAAGCCCCGGGCUCAACCUGGGAACGGCAUCCGGAACUGUCAAGCUAGAGUGCAGGAGAGGAAGGUAGAAUUCCCGGUGUAGCGGUGAAAUGCGUAGAGAUCGGGAGGAAUACCAGUGGCGAAGGCGGCCUUCUGGACUGACACUGACACUGAGGUGCGAAAGCGUGGGUAGCAAACAGGAUUAGAUACCCUAGUAGUC
rnacentral:rRNA from 1 species